rnacentral:rRNA from 1 species
CCUACGGGUGGCAGCAGUCGAGAAUUAUUCACAAUGGGGGAAACCCUGAUGGUGCGACGCCGCGUGAGGGAAGACGGUCCUAUGGAUUGUAAACCUCUUUAGGCGGGGAGCAAUGCCGGGCACGUGUGCCCGGAGGGAGAGUACCCGCAGAAUAAGCAUCGGCUAACUCCGUGCAAGCGGCCGCGGUAAUACGGAGGAUGCGAGCGUUAUCCGGAUUUAUUGGGUUAAAAGGGUGCGUAGGCGGAUUUUUAAGUCAGCGGUAAAAUGUCCGGGCUCAACCCGGGCGGGCCGUUGAAACUGGGGAUCUUGAGAGGGCGAGAGGUAUGCGGAAUGCGUGGUGUAGCGGUGAAAUGCAUAGAUAUCACGCAGAACUCCGAUUGCGAAGGCAGCAUACCGGCGCCCGACUGACGCUGAGGCACGAAAGCGUGGGGAUCGAACAGGAUUAGAUACCCUUGUAGUC